AGAGUUUGAUCCUGGCUCAGAAUGAACGCUGGCGGCGUGCCUAACACAUGCAAGUCGAACGAGAAACUCCGGGCUUGCUCGGAGGAGUAAAGUGGCGCACGGGUGAGUAACGCGUGGGUAACCUGCCCUUAAAUCUGGGAUAACUUUGCGAAAGCAUUGCUAAUACCGGAUACUAUUCCCGGGACCAUGGUCUUGGGAAUGAAAGGUGACCUCUUCAUGAAAGUUGCUGUUUAAGGAGGGGCUCGCGUACCAUUAGCUUGUUGGCAGGGUAAUGGCCUACCAAGGCGAUGAUGGUUAGCUGGUCUGAGAGGAUGAUCAGCCACACUGGAACUGAAACACGGUCCAGACUCCUACGGGAGGCAGCAGUGAGGAAUUUUGCGCAAUGGGGGAAACCCUGACGCAGCAACGCCGCGUGAGUGAAGAAGGCCUUCGGGUCGUAAAGCUCUGUCAAGUAGGAAAAAAUCCAUUUGAUGAAUAGUCAAAUGGCCUGAUGGUACUACUAGAGGAAGCACCGGCUAACUCCGUGCCAGCAGCCGCGGUAAUACGGAGGGUGCAAGCGUUGUUCGGAAUUACUGGGCGUAAAGAGCGUGUAGGCGGUUUGGUAAGUCGGAUGUGAAAUCCCUGGGCUUAACCCAGGACGUGCAUUUGAUACUGCCAUUCUGAGUAUGGGAGAGGAGAGUGGAAUUCCCAGUGUAGAGGUGAAAUUCGUAGAUUGGGAGGAACACCCGUGGCGAACUCUCUGGACAAUACUGACGCUAACUCAAGGGCGAAUCCAGCUGGGUUACUAGUGGCCA
rnacentral:rRNA from 1 species